UACGUAGGGUGCAAGCGUUAAUCGGAAUUACUGGGCGUAAAGCGUGCGCAGGCGGUUAUGUAAGACAGGUGUGAAAUCCCCGGGCUCAACCUGGGAACUGCAUCUGUGACUGCAUAGCUAGAGUACGGUAGAGGGGGGUAGAAUACCACGUGUAGCAGUGAAAUGCGUAGAGAUGUGGAGGAACACCGAUGGCGAAGGCAGCCCCCUGGGAUAACACUGACGCUCAUGCACGAAAGCGUGGGGAGCAAACAGG
rnacentral:rRNA from 1 species